UACGAGUGGUGCAAGCGUUAUUCGGAAUAAUUGGGCGUAUAGGGUGUGUAGGCGGCAUUUUAAGUCAACUGUUAAAUACCCCGGCCUAACCGGGGAAGUGCGGUAGAUACUGGAGUGCUAGAGGAUGGGAGAGAGAAGUGGAAUUCUUGGAGUAGCGGUAAAAUGCGUAGAUCUCAAGAGGAACACCAAUGGCGAAGGCAGCUUCUUGGUCCAUUUCUGACGCUGAUACACGAAAGCGUGGGGAGCAAACAGG
rnacentral:rRNA from 1 species